UGGUGGAGUGAUUUGUCUGGUUAAUUCCGUUAACGAACGAGACCUCGACCUGCUAAAUAGUUUGGCAAAUUCUUCGGAAUUUGUUCACGCUUCUUAGAGGGACUAUCGGUGUGUAGCCGAUGGAAGUUCGAGGCAAUAACA
rnacentral:rRNA from 1 species